rnacentral:rRNA from 1 species
CCAGACUCCUACGGGAGGCAGCAGUGGGGAAUAUUGGGCAAUGGGCGCAAGCCUGACCCAGCAACGCCGCGUGAAGGAAGAAGGCUUUCGGGUUGUAAACUUCUUUUAAGGGGGAAGAGCAGAAGACGGUACCCCUUGAAUAAGCCACGGCUAACUACGUGCCAGCAGCCGCGGUAAUACGUAGGUGGCAAGCGUUGUCCGGAUUUACUGGGUGUAAAGGGCGUGCAGCCGGGACUGCAAGUCAGAUGUGAAAUCCGCGGGCUUAACCCGCGAACUGCAUUUGAAACUGUUUCCCUUGAGUGUCGGAGAGGUAAUCGGAAUUCCUUGUGCAGCGGUGAAAUGCGUAGAUAUACGGAGGAACACCAGUGGCGAAGGCGGCCUGCUGGACAUUAACUGACGCUGAGGCGCGAAAGCGUGGGGAGCAAACAGGAUUAGAUGCCCCAGUA